rnacentral:rRNA from 1 species
CCUACGGGUGGCAGCAGUCGAGAAUCAUUCACAAUGGGGGAAACCCUGAUGGUGCGACGCCGCGUGGGGGAAUGAAGGUCUUCGGAUUGUAAACCCCUGUCAUGUGGGAGCAAAUUAAAAAGAUAGUACCACAAGAGGAAGAGACGGCUAACUCUGUGCCAGCAGCCGCGGUAAUACAGCGGUCUCAAGCGUUGUUCGGAUUCACUGGGCGUAAAGCGUGCGUAGGCGGUUUCGUAAGUCGGGUGUGAAAGGCGCGGGCUCAACCCGCGGAUGGCACAUGAUACUGGGAGACUGGAGUAAGGUAGGGGGAAGCGGAAUUCUUGGUGUAGCAGUGAAAUGCGUAGAUAUCGAGAGGAACCCCCGUUGCGAAGGCGGGUUGCUGGGCAUUAACUGACGCUGAGGCACGAAGGCCAGGGGAGCGAAAGGGAUUAGAUACCCCUGUAGUC